GGCAUAUAAGAGGAAAGAGAAAUGCUAACUAAGCACCACGUUGGAUUUGUCUAUGUUAGCGUUUAACCAGAAAACUAAUGAUUGGAGGUCUAAGAGAUUUUAUUGUGUAAAAUUUAAAAGUUGAAGGAGUUUUAUAUUAAAUUUUUAAAUUAACGGACUGUGGCGAUACAAUCUCAUAAGUUCAUGGUUAGUUGUUGAAAUUUAUC
rnacentral:misc_RNA from 1 species